GACUGACUCAAAAUUCCCUGACUUUCAAGCUGGAUCUGAAAGAGCUUCAACUCAUGCUGUCACUGCUAUUGCUGGAGCUAAUAUCGUUUAUGAAUCU
rnacentral:ncRNA from 1 species